rnacentral:rRNA from 1 species
UACGGAGGGUGCGAGCGUUAAUCGGAAUUACUGGGCGUAAAGCGUGCGUAGGCGGUGGGGUCAGUCAGCCGUGAAAGCCCUGGGCUUAACCUGGGAACGGCGGUUGAGACGGCCCGACUUGAGUGGGCUAGAGGAUCGUGGAAUUCCGGGUGUAGCGGUGAAAUGCGUAGAGAUCCGGAGGAACACCGAUGGCGAAGGCAGCGGUCUGGGGCCACACUGACGCUGAGGCACGACGGCGUGGGGAGCAAACAGGAUUAGAAACCCGAGUAGUCC